CCCUUAGAUGUCCUGGGCCGCACGCGCGCUACACUGAUGCAUUCAACGAGUAUUUCCUUGGCCGAGAGGCCUGGGCAAUCUUUUAAACCUGCAUCGUGAUAGGGAUAGAUUAUUGCAAUUAUUAAUCUUGAACGAGGAAUUCCUAGUAAACGCAAAUCAUCAAUUUGCAUUGAUUACGUCCCUGCCCUUUGUACACACCGCCCGUCGCACCUACCGAUUGGAUGGUCCGGUGAAAUCUCGGGAUUGUGGCCAGUUCACUUUAUUGGGAGUUGGCUGCGAGAACUUGCUUAAACCUUAUCAUUUAGAGGAAGGUGAAGUCGUAACA
rnacentral:rRNA from 1 species